GUGGCACCAGUCAAGCUUGAAAACAACACGGAUAAGCCUAGUACCAAGCGUACACUGUUGACUGUUUCCUUCUCUCCGCACAUCAGCCCCCAUUCAUUGAAGCAUUUGAGGCAACGGAGAACUAGCACACAGCUAAUUUGAACCUGUGCAUCGAGAACACCUGUAUCAUUGCGCAUGACAAGGUUCACAGUAGACAAAGUCCUCACUCCACCAAUGGGGAAACAUCAUGGAUGUCUUGAAGGCCGAUGACCGCUUCAUGUGAAGAUCUUUACCAUCUGAAUCAUGUUUCUCUGAUGGAAAAGUACAGCAAAAACACUCCCUGUCAACUAUUGGCAGCUUUAAUGACUCUACAGUGCACUUCAGAGGCACAGAGCAGCAACUGCACCAACUAGGAUCAGGGAAACUUUUUUUGUUUUUUUUUUGUAGUUUGAAGCUCCUAAAAACAUGCUGGUCAAUGCCAUCCAGAGAGCAGGUAUGACUGAGCUUCUGAACCAGCAGGUGGUGUUCACCUUCUUCGCUCUCACCAAUGAUGCCUUCAAUGCACUGCCGCAGGAUGAAGGCAACAGGCUGAUGCAUGAGUUUUAUUCAACCACACAGCUUCUCUUUAUUCACAUUCUUAAUUUAUCCACAUGGACAGUUUCCAGAUAUGUGUGUAAAGCAUCUCUCUUCUUUACAGCAGCUUAUACUGAGAGGUGGCUUGUAGAGAUUUCUUAGUGGGGCUAUUUUCCUGCCAUUUAUUUGGACUGUGUGGGGUUUUUUUAUUUUGGGGGGGGGGGCUGUAAAAUAAAGCAGAACAGUGAAACCACACAGCCUCUCAUUUGAUACCAUGUCUCCUUCAGCCUCACCUCACGUCUGUCUUGACUAACAUCUCGGUUUGAAAAUGAAAUUGAAGAACAAUCAAAUCA